AGGAAGAGAAAACAAUAGUGAUUCCGCAAGUAGUGGCGAGCGAACGCGGAUUAGCCCAAACCGUAUCAGUUACGGCUGAUGCGGGGUUGUAGGACUGCAACGUGGACUAUACAAACGAACUUGAACGACUUGGGAAAGUCGGCCAUAGAGGGUGAGAGCCCCGUACAGGUAAAGUUGUAUUACCUAGUAGUAUCCUGAGUAGGGCGGGA
rnacentral:rRNA from 1 species